GGCCGGUCGCACGGGAGUCCGGACAACGGGCUGAGAGGGAGCACAACGCGCUCCGACCGUCGAACCUGAUCCGGGUCAUGCCGGCGCAGGGAGCGUGAUGAGGAACGUG
rnacentral:ncRNA from 2 species